UCGCACGAUGCAAACCCCGGGCUUCUCUUGUAUGUUUUCAUGAAGAUGAAAGGCCCAAUGCCCGUGCAAUAUGAAUCAGCUGUUGAGUGUUGCAGAUUGGCCGAUCUCUCGGUCUAUAGCUGUGUCAAAGCAACAACAACAUCU
rfam:Amborella trichopoda AMTR_V1.0_contig_27572, whole genome shotgun sequence.